GGACUACACGGGUAUCUAAUCCUGUUUGCUCCCCACGCUUUCGUGCAUGAGCGUCAAUCUUAGCCCAGGGGGCUGCCUUCGCCAUCGGUAUUCCUCCACAUAUCUACGCAUUUCACUGCUACACGUGGAAUUCUACCCCCCUCUGCCAGAUUCUAGCCAUACAGUCACAAAUGCAGUUCCCAGGUUAAGCCCGGGGAUUUCACAUCUGUCUUGUAUAACCGCCUGCGCACGCUUUACGCCCAGUAAUUCCGAUUAACGCUUGCACCCUACGUAUUACCGCGGCUGCUGGCAC
rnacentral:rRNA from 1 species